rnacentral:misc_RNA from 1 species
GAUGAAGAACGUAGCGAAAUGCGAUAAGUAAUGUGAAUUGCAGAUUUCAGUGAAUCAUCGAAUCUUUGAACGCACCUUGCGCUCCUUGGUAUUCCGAGGAGCAUGCCUGUUUGAGUGUCAUUAAAUUCUCAACUCUCCAACUGUUGUCAUGACUGGUGGUAGAGCUUGGACGUGAGGGUUCUGCCGGCUCCUUGUUGAGUCUGGCUCCCUUGAAAAUGAUUAGCGCAGCUUUGCACUGUCCGCUUCAGGUGUGAUAAUGUAUCUACGCCCGACUAGCGACGCGCAUGAAUGGCUUUGUGCUUCUAACCGUCUCGAAAGAGACAAUACCUUUUGAACUUGACCUCAAAUCAGGUAGGACUACCCGCUGAACUUAAGCAUAUCAAUAAGCGGAGGA